ACUGUGCACUUGGGGACCAGCAAGUACCCACCAAACAGGGAACACCAUAGCACAGACCAGGGUGAUAGGGGCUUUUUGCCUGGUCCCAGAUCUGCCUAUGGGUCCACCAAGAUGAUGAGCCUUCUCUUCUUAAGGAAGAUUGCAGUUUGCAUCCAAGUUCAUGGAGUUUCCAUUAUGCAGGCAUUAGGUUAGAAAGAGCAGGUACUCAGAGCAGGAGACACAGGGAUAUGUUUGGGUGCUGUCUGAGACGCAAAUUGAAGAGCUCAGGAAACUGUAUUAAAACUACUACCCCCAAUUCCCAGAGCUUCCCAGAUGGUGUGAAUCUGCUUAGCUCUGGGAAAUCAAUGGAAUCACUCUUCCUGAUGCCACAGAAGAAGUCAGCCAAUCAAACUCUGGGCAAAACACUUUCAGAAUGUCCUUGUCUGAAAGGAAGAGAGGGAAAAUAUACAGGAGUUGCAGAGCUCUUUAUGCCAUGCAGGCCAAAGUGGCAGAAUGGAAACAUCAGAGUGGUGCUGGCCACUGUCUUUGGUGCUGUCAUGUCUGUUUUCAUGCAGUGCCUCAUCCAGAGCCUUGGAUCCAUAUGCAAAGCUGGGCUUGGCUGAGAGGUGUGCAGCAAACAGAUCACCCUGCCUGCACCCAGCAAGUGGUGCCACAUCAAGGAGAUGGAGAAGAAAGUGUGAUACAGAGCAAGAAGAAGGCAAAUUAGACCUGAAAUUUUAGUAGUCAAAGGGGACAAAUAAAAAGCAGAAAACAUGUGUGAAGGAAGAUGAGACUGGAGUUGAAAGCCUCUUUAGCUAGGCAUAAAUCUGUGCUGCUGCUAGGGACAGCCUCUCCUGUCCCCUUUCCCCAGUUGUUUCCUCCCUUUCAAUCUGAGCUGGCUGGAAAUGGCUAAACCAAGAGAAGCUGAGAUGCUGGCCAGUGACAAAGCUCAGGAGGAGUCAUAGGAAA